rnacentral:tRNA from 1 species
GGCCCCAUCGUCUAGUCUGGCCUAGGACACCGGACUUUCGCUCCGGCAACGCGAGUUCGAAUCUCGCUGGGGUCA